GCCAGGCCGUGUUCCGGGUCUCUGGAUUCAAGUCCCAGGAGUCCUGACCAGAGAGCAGGCAUCAGUGUUUUUCUGACCGAAGUUCUCAUUUCCUGACAAUGGAAAUGGAACAAGAAAAAAUGACCAUGAAUAAGGAAUUGAGUCCAGACGCGGCUGCUUACUGCUGCUCGGCCUGCCACGGCGACGAGACCUGGAGUUACAACCACCCCAUCCGGGGCCGGGCUAAGUCUCGCAGCCUGUCUGCCUCGCCCGCCCUGGGGAGCACCAAGGAGUUCAGGAGGACACGCUCUCUCCAUGGGCCGUGCCCGGUGACCACUUUUGGACCAAAGGCCUGUGUGCUGCAGAACCCCCAGACCAUCAUGCACAUUCAGGACCCUGCGAGCCAGCGGCUGACGUGGAACAAGUCCCCAAAGAGCGUCCUUGUCAUCAAGAAGAUGAGAGAUGCCAGCCUACUGCAGCCAUUCAAGGAGCUCUGCACGCACCUCAUGGAGGAGAACAACAUGAUCGUGUAUGUGGAAAAGAAAGUGCUGGAAGACCCUGCCAUUGCCAGCGAUGAGAGCUUUGGGGCCGUGAAGAAGAAAUUCUGUACCUUUCGAGAAGAUUAUGAUGACAUUUCCAAUCAGAUAGACUUCAUCAUCUGCCUGGGGGGAGACGGGACGCUGCUGUACGCUUCCUCGCUUUUCCAGGUGAAGCGCUGACAUUUCCAGACCCGCACCAGAUUCUAGUCUAGGUGCUGCGUAACGCGGGGUCGCAGUCUAGGUGCUGCAUAACGAGGGGCUCGCAGUCUAGGUGCUGCGUAACGAGGGGCUCACGAGCGCGGCUUCCAUUACUUUUCACCCCUUUAUGAGAGCAGUCACCUAUAGCGGCCAGCACUGAGGCCCAUGGUGGCAGCCUGGUGGGGCGCAAUGGUGGGGCCAGGGGCAGUGUGGACACAGUGCUACGGCUAGGGGUGGCCAGAGCCCGCCUGGGACAGGAGGGAGUGGCGCAGGGCGGUGGG
rnacentral:sRNA from 1 species